AUGGCGGACCUGGCGGUCGGGCUGUCCAAGACGGUGGUGGCGGAGGCGCUGACCAAGGUGCAGUCGGCCAUCGACGAGGACAACAAGCUCCGGCACAAGGCGCAGCGGGACCUGGUGACCAUCACCCUCGAGUUCGAGAUGAUGCAGUCCUUCCUGAACGUCGCCAACGGCGGGAGGGCCGCCGCCAUGAACAACCUGGUGAGGACCUGGGUGAGGCACGUCCGCGAGCUGGCCUACGACCUGGAGGACUGCGUGGAGUUCGUCGUCCACCUGGACGGCAAGCCGGUCUUCUGGCGCCGCCUGCUCCCGGCGUGCGUGGUCGGCCCGCUGCCGCUGGACCAGGCGGUGGCGGAGAUAGAGGUCAUCAAGGGCAGGGCCGAGGAGCUGAGCGCCUGCUACUCGCGCUACAGCUGCAUCGGCGAGCCUGUCUCCAACCUCGUCAUGCUGCAGCAGCAACAGGCUUCCGGCCGGGCCGCCGACGCAGCAGCGGCCGACAUGCUAGUCGAGGCACGGGAUUCGGCGAAAAGGCAGCAAUUCCUGGGUGAUCUCGCCCAGUUGAUCACCAACAAGGAUAAAGACCUUCAGGUGAUCUCGGUGUGGGGAACAUGCGGUGAUCUUGGGACAACCUCCAUCAUCAGGAAGGCGUACAAUGAUCCGGAGAUCUGCCGGAGCUUCGCCUGCCGCGUCUGGGUGAAGCUCAUGCAUCCUUUCAAUCCCCACGAGUUCGUGCGGCGGUUCAUGGCACAGGUCUACGCCGCAGACGCUUGCGUCGACAAGGAAGGAGCAGAUGUUGGUGUACAUGUCCUGACGAAAAUGGAGGCCAUGCAGGAAGAUGUGGGUGUGCUCAGACGUGAGUUUGUGCAGGAAGUCAACACCAAGACUUACCUCGUUGUGUUGGAGAACCUAACUGACAUGGUAGAUUGGGAUGCUGUGAGGACGUUCCUACCUGACAUGAAGAAUGGCAGCUGGAUCAUCGUGUCGACGCAGCAAUUUGAGAUUGCAAGCCUGUGUAUCGGACAUGCUUACCAACCACUGGAGCUCAAGCAGUACUCACCUGAGCACUCGGUUUGUGCAUUCUUCAAGGAGGGUUCUCAAGACUAUGGACCCAAAGAAGAGAAACCAGUGGUGUGUGAAGUGAGCUCAAAUUUGUCCUUGGAAAAAAUUCCCUCCUCCAAUAUUAAAGGGAUUGAGGACUGGAUGGAAAAUUAUCCCCUUGUUGGACGUGAGUUAGAAAUGAAUGAGCUUCGCAGCUAUACAGCCAGGGCACGUUUCAGCAAUUCUCCAGUUAUCUCUGUUUGGGGGAUAGCUGGCAUUGGGAAAUCAGCUCUUGUUAGAACCUUGUACUAUGACAGAAUGCUUCACAGCAACCAAUUUAACAAGUACAGUUGGGUGGAUGUAUCACAUCCAUUCAAUUUAAGGGAUUUUUCUCGGAGCUUACUUUUGGAUCAUCAUUCAGAAAAGGAUCCCAUUAAAGAGUGCCGGGAGCUACUGAGCCAAAACCAGUGUCUCGUGGUUAUUGAUGAUCUCCAGUCCAAAGAAGAAUGGGACUUAAUACAGUCUGCAUUGGUAUCUAGACCUUCUUCAAGUGUUAUCAUUGUUAUUACAACUGAAGCCAGCGUUGCCACAUAUUGCACAAAUAACGAAGGGCAAGUAUUUAAUGUCAAAGGUCUAGAAGCUGUAGCGGCCAUGGAUCUCUUCAGGAAAGAGGUACAUAGGAAGAAUCCUUCAUCCCCUUUAAAGGACCACGAAGAUAUGGAGCUAGAAGAGCUUAUUUUGAAGUGUGGAGGUCUUCCCAAAGUGAUAGUUUCUAUAGCUGCCUUAUUGGCCACACAGACAGUAACAUUGAUGGAUACUGUUCGCUCAUUGAAUCAAAAAUUUAUGCAGCAUCUAGAGACCAAUCCGGAUUAUGAGUGUCUCAAGGGCCUGUUUGAUUGGAUGCACUCGUACUUCCGUACUUGCCCAGAUUCACUCAAGCCAUGCAUCUUCUACCUGUCAAUUUUUCCUCGGCACCACGGCAUUCGGCAAAGGCGACUAGUAAGGAGGUGGAUUGCAGAAGGUUACUGUAGAGACAGUGAUGAAGAAUCUGCUGUUGACAGAGGGGAGAACUUCUUCUCCAAGCUCCUCGAGCUGAGCAUAAUUCAGCAGAUACCACAGUUAGUCACCACUGCAUACAAUGACACCAGCAUGGUCUCGUGCCAGGUCAAUGGCUUCAUCCGCGAGUACAUUGUCUCGCGCAGAAUGGAAGAGAACCUUGUGUUUGAACUCGGGCCCAAGUGCGUCCUAACCACCCACCGCACAGGGAGACACCUUAUCAUAUUGCGAGACUGGGACAGAGACAAGAUUGUGUUUGAGAGCAUCGACUUCUCACGGCUACGCUCGCUGACAGUGUUUGGAAAGUGGGAAUCAUUCUUCGUCUCCAAAAGUAUGAGGCUGCUUCGGGUGCUUGAUCUGGAGGACGCACUGGGUGUAAAGGAUGAAGAUCUUGAGAAGAUGGUGAAGCGGCUGCGUCGCCUGAAGUUUCUCUCUUUACGAGGAUGCGGUGAGAUAUUCCAUCUGCCAAGCUCGCUCGGCGAUCUCAGGCAGCUCCAGACUCUGGAUGUGAGGCACACCUCCAUACUCAAACUGCCAGCGAGCAUCACAAGGCUACAGAAGCUUCAGUAUAUCCACGCCGGCACCACCGUCCGAGCAUCAGCGCUGCCUGCCCCAUCCAGCAGGUUGCCAAAGUUCCACAGACGCCGCGGCCUGUUUGGUAUCAAGGUGCCCAAAGGGAUCGGAAAACUGACGGCGCUGCACACGCUCGGCGUCGUCGACGUCGGUGCUUCAGGAGGGAAGGCCGUCGUGGAAGAGCUCAGGAAACUCACCCAGCUGCGCAAGCUCGGAGUGUCUGGCAUUAGUAGGCAUAACAGCAAGGACUUCUUCUCUGCAACCUCAGGCCUUGUGCAUCUGGAAUCCUUGCUGGUGCGGCUGGGCAAGGACAGCCAAGGCUGCCUGGACGAAAUCACCCUGCCAUGGGAGAACCUCCGGAGCCUCACACUCCACGGGCUUCAAGACAAGCUGCCACCAUCAGAGAACCUCAGCAAGCUCAUGAAGCUGGAUCUGGAGAUGGACGCCUUAAAGGAAGACGACAUCGAGUUCCUAGCCAACCUAUCGGAGCUAUGCAUCCUGCGUCUCCGAGUCGGACAGCUUCAGGAUGGUAAGCUCCAUUUUCACGCCAAGAUGUAUGGGGAGGAGCUGGUCACCUUCAAGAAGGUGAAGAUCCUCGAGAUCGCCUCCGGCGCCAGCGAGCUACACGUGACCUUCGGGUCGAGGUCGAUGAAGAGCCUCGAGCUGCUGAAGAUCGACUGCUCCAGCGCGUCGUACCAUCUCACGGGCCUGAAUUUUCUGUCCGAGCUCAAGGAGGUCUUGCUCCAGGGUACCAAUGAUGAGGCGAUCAAGAGCAACUUGGAGAGCCAGCUUGCCAACCAUCCCAAGGCGCCUACCGUGAAGCUGGAGGAACUGCCGCGUUCAUCCUGA
rnacentral:rRNA from 1 species